rnacentral:rRNA from 1 species
AGAGUUUGAUCCUGGCUCAGGACGAACGCUGGCGGCAUGCCUAACACAUGCAAGUCGAACGGAGUUGUUAUUCAGAAGUUCUUCGGAAUGGAAGGAUAAGAACUUAGUGGCGGACGGGUGAGUAACGCGUGGGUAACCUGCCCUUUUGUGGGGAACAACUUCGAGAAAUCGGAGCUAAUACCGCAUAAUAAUAGAGGAUCGCAUGAUUCUUUAAGGAAAGAUGGCCUCUGAAGAUGCUAUCGCAAAAGGAUGGACCCGCGUCUGAUUAGCUAGUUGGAAGGGUAACGGCCUACCAAGGCAACGAUCAGUAGCCGGCCUGAGAGGGUGAACGGCCACAUUGGGACUGAGACACGGCCCAAACUCCUACGGGAGGCAGCAGUGGGGAAUCUUCCGCAAUGGGCGAAAGCCUGACGGAGCAAUGCCGCGUGAGUGAAGAAGGCCUUCGGGUUGUAAAACUCUGUCCUUAUCGAAGAGAGGUAGGUAUGUGAAUAAUGUACCUAUAGGACGGUAGAUAAGGAGGAAGCCCCGGCUAACUACGUGCCAGCAGCCGCGGUAAUACGUAGGGGGCGAGCGUUGUCCGGAAUCACUGGGCGUAAAGGGCGCGUAGGCGGUUUAAUAAGUCAGUGGUGAAAACUGAGGGCUCAACCCUCAGCCUGCCACUGAUACUGUUAGACUUGAGUAUGGAAGAGGAGAAUGGAAUUCCUAGUGUAGCGGUGAAAUGCGUAGAUAUUAGGAGGAACACCAGUGGCGAAGGCGAUUCUCUGGGCCAAGACUGACGCUGAGGCGCGAAAGCGUGGGGAGCAAACAGGAUUAGAUACCCUGGUAGUCCACGCCGUAAACGAUGGAUACUAGGUGUUAGUAGUUUCGAUGCUACUAGUGCCGGAGUAAACACAAUAAGCUCCCGCCUGGGGAGUACGGUCGCAAGACCGAAACUCAAAGGAAUCGACGGGGGCCCGCACAAGCGGUGGAGCAUGUGGUCUAAUCCGACGCAACGCGAAGAACCUCACCAAGACCCGACAUCCUCCUGACAAGAUAUGCAAUGUAUCUCUUUUCUUCGGAGACAGGAGAGACAGGUGGUUGCAUGGUCGUCGUCAGCCCGUGUCGUGAGAUGUUGGGUUAAGCCCCGCAACGAGCGCAACCCUCAUCCCUAUUUCGCCAGCAGUAGUAUGGGGACUCUAGAGAGACGGCCAGGACAAACUGGAGGAAGGUGGGGAUGACGUCAAAUCAUCAUGCCCCUUAUGUCUUGGGCUACACACGUGCUACAAUGGUCAGAACAGAGGGAAGCGAAGCCGCGAGGUGGAGCAAAUCCCAGAAAACUGAUCUCAGUUCGGAUUGCAGGCUGCAACCCGCCUGCAUGAAGUCGGAAUCGCUAGUAAUCGCGGGUCAGCAUACCGCGGUGAAUACGUUCCCGGGCCUUGUACACACCGCCCGUCACACCACGAAAGUUAGUAACACCCGAAGCCGGUGGCCUAACCCGCAAGGGAGGGAGCUGUCGAAGGUGGGACCGAUGAUUGGGGUGAAGUCGUAACAAGGUAACC